rnacentral:lncRNA from 1 species
GAAGAGGAUGAGGAGGACAAAGAAGAGGAGGAAGAGGAAGACAGCGAGGAGGAAGACGACGACAGCGAGGAGGAAGAUGAGGAUUUUGUGGACCAAGAGGAGGUGGAGAAGCUUGGUCUUCCUGGGGCCAAAGCACCAGAUGCUGCUGCUUUUAAACUGGGAUAUUUUUUCCAGCGACUUAUGAUCCCAAAGUCUGUACCAGUCUUUGAAGAGGAUGAAUAUCUGGACGAAUAUUAUGAUGAAGAGGAAGAGGAUGAAAAUGAAAAGCCAGAAGAACUCGAAAUGGAUGUGGUCUCAAAAGAGGGCAGCCAUGAAAAAUAAAGUUGGAAGGCAUAGAAAGAAAAGGACAGCGGAAGGGAACAUGAAUUUGUCCUUUACAGAUGUUUUAGUUUUUAUUAGCCCAAAAUGUUAAUUUUUUUUCAAAGUUCAAAUGAUAUUACCUGACACCUGACUUUACCCUUAUCAUUUACAAAUAUAUUUGACAGCAUUGUUCACAUUGAAAAUAAAAACUUGUUUGAAAUGAA